rnacentral:rRNA from 1 species
AGUGAACGCUGGCGGUAGGCCUAACACAUGCAAGUCGAACGGCAGCACAGUAAGAGCUUGCUCUUACGGGUGGCGAGUGGCGGACGGGUGAGGAAUACAUCGGAAUCUACUUUUUCGUGGGGGAUAACGUAGGGAAACUUACGCUAAUACCGCAUACGACCUACGGGUGAAAGCAGGGGAUCUUCGGACCUUGCGCGAUUGAAUGAGCCGAUGUCGGAUUAGCUAGUUGGCGGGGUAAAGGCCCACCAAGGCGACGAUCCGUAGCUGGCCUGAGAGGAUGAUCAGCCACACUGGAACUGAGACACGGUCCAGACUCCUACGGGAGGCAGCAGUGGGGAAUAUUGGACAGUGGGCGCAAGCCUGAUCCAGCCAUACCGCGUGGGUGAAGAAGGCCUUCGAGUUGUAAAGCCCUUUUGUUGGGAAAGAAAAGCAGCAGGUUAAUACCCCGCUGUUCUGACGGUACCCAAAGAAUAAGCACCGGCUAACUUCGUG